rnacentral:rRNA from 1 species
UGGGGAAUAUUGCACAAUGGGCGAAAGCCUGAUGCAGCAACGCCGCGUGAGUGAUGAAGGUCUUCGGAUUGUAAAGCUCUGUCUUUUGGGACGAUAAUGACGGUACCAAAGGAGGAAGCCACGGCUAACUACGUGCCAGCAGCCGCGGUAAUACGUAGGUGGCGAGCGUUGUCCGGAUUUACUGGGCGUAAAGGGUGCGUAGGCGGAUG